GGAUGUAAAAGUCGUAACAAGGUAUCCGUAGGUGAACCUGCGGAAGGAUCAUUAUUGUAUAACCGAGGUGCGAGGGCUGUCGCUGACCCGAAAGGUCGUGCACGCCCGAGUGCCCUCACACACAUCCAUCUCACCCCUAUGUGCACCACCGCGUGGGUCCCCCUUUGGCUUGUUCGGAGGGGGGCUUACGUUUUCACACAAACUUUGUAUGCAGUGUAGAAUGUAUUUUUUGUUUUUGCGAUCACGCAAUCAAUACAACUUUCAACAACGGAUCUCUUGGCUCUC
rnacentral:misc_RNA from 1 species